rnacentral:lncRNA from 1 species
CUAUGGCAGACGCUUCCGCUUCCGUAGCCGUUCCUUUUACAUCACAAGAAACCAAUAUCAGCUGCGUAGCUCCGCUGAUAUGCGAGGGAAGAACUAACCUGGAUGCAGCUUUCGGUACUUUCCAGUUUGCAAUUUGAAUCUGUUUCAUCUUCUUCGUUGGCAUCCUGAUGCUUUAUUCGAUAUCGACCACUCCCAGUGAUUUCCAGUAUUUCAUUUGGGAUUUUGGCAUUGCGAUUGUACCCUUUUUCACCAUUGGUUACGCUUCGCCGCCAAAAUACCUCCAUCCACGAAGACCUCUUCGGCUUCUGUGGGCCAUUUUGCCAUUGUUUUCUUUCUUCACGUUCUUGGCAUGGCAAACUAUCGUAUUGCUAAUUGGCUGGUUCUAUUGCCAUGCUCAACCCUGGUUUGAACCUUACGUUUUUGAGCCGGGCAAGCAUCCGCCGAAUCCCAGCUAUGAAGAAACGACUCUUUUCAAUUUGAUGUCUAUCGGCUCCAUCGUAGCGGUUUUUGUUUUCGCUCAGAGUCCCCCCUUCAGUCGUAGCAGUUUUUUCAACAAAAUCUUUAUGAUUUAUGCCUUUGGGGCAACUAUCCUGUUGCUUUGCGUCAUGUUUAUUACCAACGAUGGAUUCGUUUAUUGGAUGAAUUUCAAGACUCCACCUCAUCCUGAAUAACCAGUGGUUAUUCUUGUAUUGGGUCUUGCCGGUGGUCUCUUCUCUUUCUGCAGGGAGGUAACUAGAGAAAAAAAGCAGUUUAAAAGUUGGAAAAAUAUUUAUCAAAUUCGGUCUGGAUUGAAAUACCUGAUACGUGGGUGGAUAUACCAAUGGGUGUGGCCGCGCCUCAGUCGGCUUCGCCCAGUACGCCAUACUUAUCAAAAGAUUGAAAAGGAGUUGAAAUCUAAACCGGAUUGGCCUAAAUUAGGUGGCAAAGACAUAUCUAAAGAUCUCGAACAAGAGGCAUUACAAGUCGAACCUCCCAGCCCGAACGAAAAAGGGGCGAGCGAUUCCGUGUCAGGCGAAGAUCAAAUCCCUUCAUCAAGUCCAGGACGCAACAGCCUUUGAGAUUUAGUUGGUAGAGGCAAAACUACGUUUCGAACGUUCCAGGGCAGCCGGAGAGGCGGUUAUACGAUUAACGGCCCACAACUAGAGCAGGACUAUCCACACGAAAGUAUCCCAUUGAAGGUGCCUGUUACGAAUGUCGAAGUUCAACCAUCGGUUCCACGUUCUCCGCUACCUAAGACGACAGAUGAGGAGUAUGAGUACGAAUUCCAUCCACAACCGCCCUCAAUUCCGGACGAGUUUUUGAGUGCCCAGAGUUCCCCAGUUCAGGUUUUGGCCAUUCGCCUAUUUGAAGACGAGGAACACGAAGUGGCUCCACCUCCUUUUGAGAUUGAUGUUGAACAAAGAAGUCCAUUCAGCAGGAGGGGACAAGGGGUGUUCCAGUUAGUCGACGAGAAGAACGCGGAGCAGCCAGACUCUGAUGUCCAAUUAUUGGCCUAUAGGGUUUCCCGCAGGCCAUCAGACUUGUCGUCUUCGCAGUAAAGGCGUCAUCUGAAUGGCCAUGGACCACACCCGGCGGAAUAACACUAGCGACAAUAUCAGCAUUUACACCAGACUGUUGAAAAUAAUAAUUUCUGCCUUUUAUUCAGAUAA